AACGAACGCUGGCGGCAGGCUUAACACAUGCAAGUCGAGCGCCCCGCAAGGGGAGCGGCAGACGGGUGAGUAACGCGUGGGAACGUACCCUUUACUACGGAAUAGCUCCGGGAAACUGGAAUUAAUACCGUAUGUGCCCUUCGGGGGAAAGAUUUAUCGGUAAAGGAUCGGCCCGCGUUGGCUUAUCUAGUUGGUGGGGGAAAGGCCUACCAAGGCGACGAUCCAUAGCUGGUCUGAGAGGAUGAUCAGCCACAUUGGGACUGAGACACGGCCCAAACUCCUACGGGAGGCAGCAGUGGGGAAUAUUGGACAAUGGGCGCAAGCCUGAUCCAGCCAUGCCGCGUGAGUGAUGAAGGCCUUAGGGUUGUAAAGCUCUUUCACCGAUGAAGAUAAUGACGGUAGUCGGAGAAGAAGCCCCGGCUAACUUCGUGCCAGCCGCCGCGGUAAUAC
rnacentral:rRNA from 1 species